GACAGAGUGAGAGAGAGGGUGACUAGUGACAGAGUGAGGAAGGGGGUGACACAGUGACAGAGUGAGGGAGGGGGUGACUGUCACUAGUCACCCCCUUCCCUCCCUCACUCUGUCACUAGUCACCCCUUCCUCACUUUGUCAC